UUUAAAUCUCUUAUGCUCUGGAUAAGAUGGACGUCUUUCCUCUGACCUGUUACCAAGACAGCUGGAUGUGUAAGAAGCUGGAACUAAGUCACUGAAGAAGUAAACCGAUGAAAACCGAUUUGGAUUGUCUGAGAGAUGACACAAGUAAAAGGAGAAGAAUGCUGCUCAGCUGGGUUGGCGAAGCUCUUGGAUAUCAUCAGCACAUGUAUGAAGCACAGAGUCAUUCCGGUAGGCACAGAGUCGUUCCUCGAUGGACGUGAUGACCUGGCACCAAAACCGCUUAAUGUGUAUGAAGCUGUCUGCAUCGAGGGAAGAACCCAGCACUGAAAUGACACAAAUGAAAGAAGAGUACUUCUGCUCUGCUGGGUCUGCGACACUACUUAUCCGAGGAGUCCUCAAACAUCAGGAUGUAGGAAGACACAAGUAAAAGGAGAAGAAUGCUGCUCAGCUGAGUCGGCGGUCACACUACUUAUUCAAGAAGCUCUUGGAUAUCAUCGGCAUGUGUGAAGCACAGUCAUUCCGGUAGGCACGGAGUCGUUCCUCGAUGGACGUGAUGACCUGGCACCAAAACCACUUAAUGUGUAUGAAGCUGUGUCUGCAUCGAGGGAAGAACCCAGCACUGAAAUGACACAAAUGAAAGAGGACGUCUUCUCUGCUGGGUCUGCGACACUACUUAUCCUAGGAAUCCUCAAACAUCAGGAUGUAGGAAACUUAUGGUGAGAUGCCAAGAACCGCCAUGAGGGAUAUGCAACCUGCAGCUUCACCAUGCUUUUGGGAGAUCAUGUACUACGUGAACCUUGAGUAUCUACAAGCCAGCUACUUUAAGUCCUUGAAAGGGUAGUGAUGUCAUUCAAGCCAGAUCACGAGACAAGGUCCUGUACAAACUGUCAAUCUAAGUGUUGCGACAUCCCUGUCAGUUCUUUUGGACUGAAUACAUGCUGUGUUUGAAAUGUAUUAUUCGGAUAACCUCCCAUCAGGGAAUACCUUGUCUGUUAAUGACGGAUGGACAUGCCAUUGACAUGCAGUGCACACUUUGAUGUUUUUUAUUGUAAUGUUUUCUAUGUUUUUCCGAUGUUCUUUUUUAUUUAUGUUCUGUUAUAUGCUGGUUAUGUAAGUACUGUAUGGAAUGUAGUGACUGUAGAGCCCAAGACAAAUUUCAACCUGGGGACAAAAAGUUCACUCCACUCUGUUAGCGCAGUUAUGGAUGCACUGUAAAUUUUGUAAUUAACCAAAAGUACGGUGAGAAGCCUGUUUGUGCAGAUGGACCUGCUGGCGGGCCUGUUUACUCAUAGCUAAAAAGCAACAUAUUCUCUGUGCAAAGCACAUGGGCUCUUUGCAAAGGGGUUAAACAUUUUCAUGUGCUGUUUUACAGUGUGCUAUACAAAAGGUAAGGUGAAACUAUUUUUUUGAAAUUCUAUAAUUGAAGAGUUCAGAUGCAAA